AUGUGUUCCAAAACAGCAGCUCUCACUAGAUGGCAGGAUGAAGAGCAUACAAAAUAUGGUUUGAGCAGGCAUCCGGCUGAUUCUGCUCAAUGGAAGUAUUUUGAUGAGUUGCAUGAGGACUUUGCUAAGGACUGCCACCAUUUUAGGCUUGGAUAUGGAGCAGAUGGUUUUAAUCCUUUUAGAUCCAAUAAUGUGAAUUAUAGUGUUUGGCCUGUUAUAUUGAUUCCUUAUAACUUCCCUCCUUGGAUGUGCAUGAAGCAAUCAAAUUUUUUUCUCACAUUGUUGAUUCCUGGUAAACAUGCUCUUGGUAGUGAUAUGGAUGUUUAUCUAGAGCCGUUAAUUGAUGAUAUGGUAGAUAUGUUUCUUCAUGGUGUCAGAACGUACGAUGCUUCAAAAGAAGAGUUCUUUAAUUUGAAGGCUGCCAUAUUAUGGACCAUUCAUGAUUUCCCGGGCCUAGGGUAUACAACUGGUUGUACCACCUCUGGUGAAGGAGCUUGUCCUGAAUGUCAUUCUGACACAUGUUCUCUUAGGUUGAAUAAUGGUAGCAAGACAUGCUACAUGGGGCAUCGCAGGUUCUUACAUGAAGACCACCCCUUUAGGUCCAAUACCCAUUCUUUUGAUGGCAUUGCUGAGCAUAGGCCAGCGCCAAUUCCUCUCUCUCGAUCAGAAAUUGUUGCUCAGAUGGAAGAUAUGCAUACAGUUUUUGGGAAGGAUCCUUCCGGGAAGAAGAAAACCAAGAGAAAGUGCAAUGAUGAUGAGCCAUUAAUAGUUUGGAAAAGGAAGUCUAUUUUUUUCAGGCUGCCAUAUUGGGACAGCUUGUUGCUGCGUCACAACUUAGACGUCAUGCACAUAGAUUAA
rnacentral:rRNA from 1 species